rnacentral:rRNA from 1 species
CUUAACGGUAAAAUGGCCCCCGAUACUGGGCGUCUUGAAUCUGACAGAGGUCGGUGGAAUUCGUAGUGUAGCGGUGAAAUGCAUAGAUAUUACGAAGAACAUCAGUGGCGAAGGCGGCCGGCUGGGUCAGUAUUGACGCUGAGGCACGAGAGCGUGGGGAGCGAACAGGAUUAGAUACCCUGGUAGUCCACGCUGUAAACGAUGUAUGCUAGUUGUGGGGCUUUCGGGCUCUGUGACGCAGUUAACGCAGUAAGCAUACCACCUGGGGAGUACGUUCGCAAGAAUGAAACUCAAAGGAAUUGACGGGGGCCCGCACAAGCGGUGGAGCAUGUGGCUUAAUUCGAUGCAACGCGAAGAACCUUACCCGGGCUAAAUUCAUGCCGACCGGUCCCGAAACGGACCUUCCCUUCGGGGCGG